CAUGUAUUUUAGUUAAUAUUCAAGAAACUAGCACUUUGUGUUGGAAACCAGGUCAAGCAUUAAUGGAUGAUCUCAUUAGGUCCUCAUCACAGCCUUGUGAGGUGGAUAAUAUUACAACAUUCAUUUUGCAGAUGAGAAAACUAAAGGAAAAGAGGAAGUCAAAUUGUCCCUGUUUGCAGAUGACAUGACUGUAUAUUUAGAAAACCCCAUCGUCUCAGCCCAAAAUCUCCUUAAGCUGAUAAGCAACUUCAGCAAAGUCUCAGGAUACAAAAUCAAUGUGCAAAAAUCACAAGCAUUCUUAUACACCAAUAACAGACAAACAGAGAGCCAAAUCAUGAGUGAACUCCCAUUCACAAUUGCUUCAAAGAGAAUAAAAUACCUAGGAAUCCAACUUACAAGGGAUGUGAAGGACCUCUUCAAGGAGAACUACAAACCACUGCUGAACAAA
rnacentral:lncRNA from 1 species